AAGAAGUUUAUUCAAUGUUCACAUGGCGCAGAAGUUUGAUCUGAAGUUUAGGCCGAAUUUUAUUGGAAUUUGAGCAAAAGAAAUGAUAAACAUGGAGGUAUAUACCUUCUUGGUAUAAAAGUGCCGGGUGAAAUUUGAAUGAUUAUGAUUCAUGAGUGAUGUGAACGAUUUAUUUUAUACUCAAACUCUUCAAGUUCAUCGGUACCAUUUUUGUGUGUGACAAGUGACACCUAGCAACUGGAUUUCCUCAGCACAAGUAUGGCAAUUUACAGAUAGCUUCUACAACUGUUUUGUUGAAAUUUGUGAGAUGAUUACCCAAAAAUAUCUACCUGAGUGGCAACAUUCUGCUGGUGAAGGCUUUUACAAUGGGAAUUGAGUGUGUCAACAGUCGUGGUCAAGUCCUCACACAUUUGCUUAUAUUUCUGGUGAUCUGAACGACAAACAGGUUCAACAGGUGCAGAUGUUACUGGAACUGCGACAUUUCUCUUUGGCUGGCUCAACGCAUCAAUGAGACUAGUUGAAAGCAGUGCAUCAAGUUCAGGUUUCUUGGAGGCAGUCUUCUUCAGUUUUGCACAUUGAUUGCGAACCUGUGAUUAUUAAAAACAAAUUUUUUUUUUUUCGAUUUUUUAAUCCUUUUAAUUUAUUGUUAUUAGUUAAGUCAUUAGAUUA